CCUGAUAUGAAAGCUGACAUUAGAACUGGUAACAAAGGAGCAGGAGCUGGUGUAAUACACAGGGGUAUCGCCCCUGGAACUCAAGAGUCCAACAGAUGCAAUUACAAAGCAGAAGGUGCAGGAGUCUGCCUACUCUGUGGAAAUGAGGUGACGCCUUCAUCACAGCCAGGAGCCAGGCUGAAAAUUAUUGUCUCUGAGACAGCACAAAACUCAGACUGCAGAAAGUUCUUUUUUUGGACAACUUCAAAGCUGAACUUUGUAUUUGAGAGAUGGAAGCAUGCAACUAAAUGCAUCUGCAUAUACGCUGCCUCACUUUAUCUGGGGAGUAACAAACCGGGUGACAGAAACAAUGCACUGGCUUAAAAAUGAUGAACUUCUUUUUUUCUUUUUCUUAUUAAAACAGAUUAAAGAAGGAUGCAGAAAAUAAUUCUUUGGAAAAAGGAAGAAAUAGACAUGGAGCCCUUGCACCUGAAAUGCACCAUGAUGCAUUAGGCAGCACAUGGAAGUGUUUGGAGCUGAAGGCACCAAACACACCCUGGCCCAGAGUCUGCC
ensembl:lncRNA